rnacentral:lncRNA from 1 species
GUUCCUGGGCUAGGGGUCAAAUUGGAUCUGUAGCUGCUGUCCUAUACCACAGCCACAGCAACACCAGAUUCUUAACCCACUGAGUGAGGCCAGGGAUCAAGGCCACAUCCUCACAGAUACUGUGUUGAGUUCAUAACCCGCUGAGACACACUGGGAACUCCAAGUCCUACUUUAAGUGUCACAACUUGAGAGAAGCCUUCCCUGACCUACCUACUAAAAUAGCUCAUUCUUUAUCCUUUCAUUAUUAUUAUGUUGUACCAUAUCUUGUUGUCUAUCUCUCUCUCUCUCUAUAUAUAUAUCUAUCAUCUAUUUAUCUAUCAUCUACUAUCUAUACCUCCAUGACUAGAAUUUAGCUAGGAGUCUUAUUUUGACCUCACAGUAACUCCAGGGCACAGGCAGUGCCUGGUACAUAGGAGAUGCUUAGUAAAACCUUUUCAAAUACAUUACCUUUUUUUUCUUUUUCUCCAUGAAGGCUUUGCUUACAGCAGGUGCCAUUCAUUUUGCUCCUUGCUUGUGCUCUCUAGCCGGCAUUGCUAAUACCAUCUUUUUAAGCACAGGCUUUAUCUCCACAGCAGAUUACAGGUUCUAUAGACGGAAGGCGCAUGCCUUCUGCCCCUCUGGUGCUUGUGAAAUUUUGCUCCUAGUAGUGAUAAUUGGGUUGUUACUGCCUGCUAUUUAUAAUUAAAUAAUAAGUAGAAAACAAUAACAAGAAAAAAACCCAUUAUUGCUUGGCAUUUUAACAUGCUGUCAUGUUAUCCUGAAGUGUCCAGGUUGUUUUAAAAUCUUGCCAUUGCUUAAUGGUAUUUGACUGUGGCAUAUUAGCAAAGAAGUUCCCAGGUUGGACAGCUUCUUAGCUCAUGAGCCCUGAUAUUUCCCCAUUUUAUAGAAUUUCUGCUAGUGUUUUGGCUAAUUAUUAGACAUUUCCAAGGUUUGCUUGUAGUUUAUUUGUCAUUAGGGGAACUAAAUCUUAAUAUAAAAGACUAUGAAAUGCUGAGUGUACAAAGGGACAGUUUUAUAGAAUUAGUGAUUAAAAGAGCAUUGUCUCUGGAGCUGGGCCAUAUCAAUUCUUCUCUCAAUCUGUCAUAUUAUGACUUUUGUCAAAUUGCUUAAAUUCUCUUUGAUUUACAAUGUUGUGUUAAUUCCUGCUGUACAGCAAAGUGAUUCUCUUAAUUAAAUUAUAUUUGGAUAAUAUUAGUUGACUCUUUUCCAAGUUAUCCCUGAACAGAAAGAUAGAUAACAGGCCCUUGGUUAUUCAUUUGAAGUUAUAAUUACACAUUAUUUUCCAUGUUUGGAAGAUGAUCAUCCACUUUGCUCUUGUAAGAAAUAGAAAAAAAUAUAUAAUGGGAUUUGAAAACCACAAAAUAUAACCUGCUUUGCAAAGAUUUUGUAUUUAUUUUUUUAUCUUAUAUUUUACGUUUAUCUUAUAAAGGCUUGGAAAGCCUAAUAAGAAGAUCUUUUGGCAGUGUGUUAGGAAGUUGUUAUUUGUCACUUUUAGACUAUGCAUUGCCAAAUCUAAUGUCAGAAAAUUAAGAAGAAAAUACAUCAGAACCAGAAAAUAAAACCAACUGCAAAAAGAAAGGUGAAAUGACAAGUAACUUUUCUAGUCUAAGUCAAAUGAAAAGCAUAAAUGUAUUGGAAAGAAAUAUUAAAAACUAAGCAUUUACUUUAAGUUAUAAUGUUUUAUAUUUCUAUGAUGUCUCUUUAAAGAUUAUAUGUGCUCAUUUAAAAUUCAUUGCAAUCUGACUUUCUGUACUUAACAAUUAUAAACAGUGAAGAAUUUCUAUGCGCAGUUUUUUUAAAAGAAACACUUUGAAACGUUCAAGGUAAUUUUUGUUUUCCCUAAUUUACUUUAAAUUUAUAUUUUCUUUAAAAAUUAGUGAGCCUCUUCUACUGAACUAGGAAAAUAUUUCGUUUUUUAGCAUAGGCAACCUGCUUGCUAAGAAGACUCAACCCACAACAAGAUUUUUGUAGGAAUUUUAAUUCUAUAAAUAUAUCAGUUUAUAAUGGAAACAAGAGUGCACCAUUAACAACAGUGGAAGUGUAAACUCAUUUUCUCUCUAUGAAGAUCUUUCCAUUCUUCAUCUCUCUACUACUCGAAAUAAAAAUUGGUCAUAUUUGUGCCCAAAGAAACAUCAUCCAAAUACUUCUGACUAUAAUUCUGAGUGCCAUUGAAUCAAUGAUGGCUUGUUUUGGUCAGUCCUGUUACCUCCAGGGCACAAUGGAAACUAUACUCUUAAUAAAGAUGCUCUUGUCGUGAAAUCACUUCAAACAGUAUCACUAUCUGACAUUUUUAUUAAAUAUGCUAGCGAUGUUAAAUGCAUUUAUUGAAACUAUAGAUACUACUUAACAUUUUCCUUUUUAAAACAUGUUAUAGACAAGUUAUCUAAAGGGUUUCCUUUUGAAAAUAUGGCAUAAUUCCAGCCUAUUCAAGAGGGUGAAGCCCUGCACUGAUAAGUUAUUCAAUCUAUAAGUAUCAUAAUUCUUGAUCUCUGAAAAUGGAUAUUAGCCACAACAAACACCCCCUCCACCUACCUGCAUGCCAAUACAACCUCUAUCAACAGGUAUGCCUGCACUCCAUCUAACUACCUACAUGCCCAUAUUCCAAGACAUCAGGCUGUUUAACAUCUGGUCUUUUUGAUUCAGAGCUAGUGGAGACUGAGGGGAAAAAUUAGUUAACUUUGACCUAAGCAGAAAAUCCUGAAUAAACUAAGUCUCCAUCUAGAUCAUAUAUAUCUAACUUCCUUUUGAAAUUUGGGCAGAAGAGGGUAGAACUGAAGAAAGAGAUUGUCCAGAUUGAACAUACACAGUUCAUUGUUUGUUACUCUUUGACUACUUAUACAGCACAGGAAGCCCCAAAUCCAAAGUUCCCAUAGGCAGUUGACAUAUUUGAUGGCAUUAGGGCUAAAGUACAGCAUAAGUUAAAUCACAUUGGCUUGUAGUAUAUAAAAAUCAUAGAGAGAGGGGAAAAAAUAUCAAUGUUUUUCAAGAUAGAAAAGGAUGAAACUCAUGAAGCUAAGAACUGAUGUUAUCCAACUUUGGGUAAAGGCAACACACUCAUAUUAAGGGUUUUAGACUACUUUUAUAGGUAAAAGAGGUAGAUAAACAGGUAUUCUUAUAUGCAAUGAGAGAUUGGACUACCAACUCUAUAAACCAUCUAGUUACCUGGAUUUCAGAAGACAGCAGUUAGGUUACAUAGGUGCUAACACUGAUUUGAUGAGUGCAUGGCACGGUGGUGUAAGGAAACAAAGAUCAAUGUUAAAAUGACUGUGAGAAUCUCUGAGGAGUACACACAGAUCAAUACCUGUGUAACUCAUAGACUAUCAUCCUCUUCUCGGAGUCUUUUAAGAAAGUGAAGCCAAUUCUACUGAGAUGUUUUCCCACUCUCCCAAUGAACUGUAAAUUAUCAUUGUCAAGCACGGUACUAAAAUGUUUCUUUCUUGCAACUUAAAGACACUUGGAACAUUAACUGCCCUGAAAAAAAAUUAAAUGACUAAAGUUUUCUUUGACUUUCCUCCUAAAGUGUACUUGAGUCAAAAUCAUUUUGCCUCGGAGCAUAUUGUCUUUGCUGACUGGGUCUACAAAGUUGGGCCAACCCAGAGCCCAUCCAGCUAGUCAGUUUCUUUCACAGCUUCCAUUGGGGGUUGGGGAUUUAAGCAAAUUGCUAAGUUCUUCUCUAGCUCAUGUAACCCCCAAAUAAAAUGGCUAAUGCUUUGGGUCUUUAGCAAACCAAACCGUAUUUCUAAAUUAAAGCUCCUACUCUUCUUAGAUGUAAUCAGUAAAUAGAUAAGUAAAUGGACUCAGAGGUAUUUGGCUUCCUGAAAGGGGUGUCCCCCUCCCAUUUGUUAUGCCUAUCCUGAGCAAUGAUGAGUAUGAGAGAGUGGCUGGUGAGAGUCUUCUUAAACCAUGGACACAUUUUGAGUAUGGAACGGAGGCAUUUAUUUAAACAAGUAGGGGUUCAUUCUCUGGUUCACAUGGUACUGCAGUUUUUCAUGUCCAUUAACUACCUACUAUGCCCACACUUGAGCCCCUGUGCAAAUAUUAAAAUAAGUUCAUUUUUCAAGGGAAAAAACAUCUCAGGAGAUUCAUUUCACAUAGUGUUUGAAUAACAUUAAGUGAACUGAGCAAAAAUAAGAUGCUAAUGCAAUUAGUGCAGUUAGAUUUUAAACUUGAUGAAUUUAAAAAAAUCCUCUGCUAAAGGAUAACUGCAAAACCUAAUAUGUUUCUCAUUAUAACAUUUGGGAAAAAUACAAUGUCGUGUCUUGAAAUAAUUUGACUUUUUAAAUGUGUUAAACAUUUUUUCUUUUUGUUACUGUUUCUAAAAUAGAAAGUCUAUUGGGAACAAAUUUGAUUGUCCUGUAUAACUUAAUCUUUAAGACUAAACUGAAUCCUUCAUUAUCAUUCACUCUGGCACUUCAAAGAAACCAUAACACACAGCAUCUUUUUAUUAGGCCCCUCUAGCUAUGACUUAAUAAUAUGAAUAGUUCAUAUAAUGAAUUUUAAAUGGGUCCAAUGUGAUCUAUAGAAAACAUUUGAUAUAAUAUUUACAACCAUCAUGAAAUAAAAUGUUUUUCUCCUUUUUACAGAUGAGGAAACUGAAGUUCAGGGAGGUUAAGUGAUUUCCCCAAUGGCGUAUAGUUGUAAGGGGAAGAGAAAACUCUAACUUGAAAAUUUGCGGUAUAAUUUUAUUCAAAAGUAUUUUUGAAAGCCACUUUCUAGGCUUUGCUCAAUGUGAAGAGACUGUGAAACAGAGUAUCAUACAAUAUUUGCCUUGGUGGAGCUUACAGACACGUGUAUGUGUAUUCAAGGAAGCUUGUGCACAUGAGGAGAGAUAGAAAUGUAUAAUAAGUUAAAAUAAAAAUGACAAAAGCUAGAUGUAAAAAUAAAUUCAAAACGUGUAGUAUUACAAAA